rnacentral:lncRNA from 1 species
UUUGUUUCUCUCCUCCUCUGCACCACAUUCUUUCUUUUCUCUUGUCUUUGACACUUCUCCCCACCUGACUAUACCUCCAGCACAGGGAGGGAGAGAGGUUUCACGAGGCCCCUGAUACCAUCCAUGCUCAGUAAGCUGUCCUUGACUAAUGUGUCAAGAAUUGUACUCUGGGCUGUAUUUGUACCAUUUGCUCUGUGCUAGACUGGAUAGCACUACUAUAGGUUCUCGUCUUGGUCUAGUAACAAUAGGUAAUACUAGUGCUUAAAAAUUAUGGUUGAUGAUUGGGUUAAACUUGCCAUUAUUUUCUAAUAUAGCUCACCAGUGUCGUGUAAUCCCCUCCUGCUCCUGAGACAGGAGCCCUAGUCUGAAGCCUUUUUCUCAUUGGACAUUCGUGCUGGCCUGUGGGUGAUCCCUGUCAAGGCAGACUGUGAUGGCCUUGUUAUCUUUUGUAGGCUUCAUUCUCUGUGCCUCUGAGCAAGUUUCUCUCCAGCAUGAACACAGCCAAGCUGAUCCUGGAAAAAGCCUCCAGGUUGCUGAAGCUCUUCUGGAGGGUCUCUGUCCCCACCAACGGCCAGUGUUCCCUUCACUGUGACCAGAUUGGAGAAAUGAAGGCAGAGAUCACCAAACUACACAAAAAAUUGUUUGAACAAGAAAAGAAGCUGCAGAACACAGCAAAACUUCUGCAGCAGAGCAAGCACCAGGAGAAAAUCAUCUUUGAUCAGUUGGUCAUCACCCACCAAGUCCUUCGGAAAGCCAGGGGAAACCUGGAGCUCAGGCCUAGAGCUGCCCAUCCAGGAACAUCCAGUCCCAGCAGACCGGGCUCAUGAGAAGAGCUUUCAGCUAAUAAAGCUUGUGAUCCUGA